UUAAGCGACUAAGCGUACACGGUGGAUGCCCUGGCAGUCAGAGGCGAUGAAGGACGUGCUAAUCUGCGAAAAGCGUCGGUAAGGUGAUAUGAACCGUUAUAACCGGCGAUGUCCGAAUGGGGAAACCCAGUGCAAUUCGUUGCACUAUCGUUAACUGAAUACAUAGGUUAACGAGGCGAACCGGGGAACUGAAACAUCUAAGUACCCCGAGGAAAAGAAAUCAACCGAGAUUCCCCAGUAGCGGCGAGCGAACGGGAGCAGCCAGAGUCUGAAUCAGCUUGUGUGUUAGUGGAACGGUCUGGAAAGUCCGACGGUACAGGGUGAUAGUCCCGUACACCAAAAUGCACAGGCUGUGAACUCGAAGAGUAGGGCGGGACACGUGGUAUCCUGUCUGAAUAUGGGGGGACCAUCCUCCAAGGCUAAAUACUCCUGACUGACCGAUAGUGAACCAGUACCGUGAGGGAAAGGCGAAAAGAACCCCGGCGAGGGGAGUGAAAAAGAACCUGAAACCGUGUACGUACAAGCAGUGGGAGCACCUUCGGGUGUGACUGCGUACCUUUUGUAUAAUGGGUCAGCGACUUAUAUUCUGUAGCAAGGUUAACCGUAUAGGGAGCCGCAGGAAACCGAGUCUUAACUGGGCGUUAAGUUGCAGGGUAUAGACCCGAAACCCGGUGAUCUAGCCAUGGGCAGGUUGAAGGUUGGGUAACACUAACUGGAGGACCGAACCGACUAAUGUUGAAAAAUUAGCGGAUGACUUGUGGCUGGGGGUGAAAGGCCAAUCAAACCGGGAGAUAGCUGGUUCUCCCCGAAAGCUAUUUAGGUAGCGCCUCGUGAACUCAUCUUCGGGGGUAGAGCACUGUUUCGGCUAGGGGGUCAUCCCGACUUACCAACCCGAUGCAAACUACGAAUACCGAAGAAUGUUAUCACGGGAGACACACGGCGGUGCUAACGUCCGUCGUGAAGAGGAAACAACCAGACCGCCAGCUAAGGUCCCAAAGUCAUGGUUAAGUGGGAAACGAUGUGGGAAGGCACAGACAGCCGGGAUGUUGGCUUAGAAGCAGCCAUCAUUUAAAGAAAGCGUAAUAGCUCACUGGUCGAGUCGGCCUGCGCGGAAGAUGUAACGGGCUAAACCAUGCACCGAAGCUGCGGCAGCGACACUAUGUGUUGUUGGGUAGGGAGCGUUCUGUAAGCCUGCGAAGGUGUGCUGUGAGGCAUGCUGGAGGUAUCAGAAGUGCGAAUGCUGACAUAAGUAACGAUAAAGCGGGUGAAAAGCCCGCUCGCCGGAAGACCAAGGGUUCCUGUCCAACGUUAAUCGGGGCAGGGUGAGUCGACCCCUAAGGCGAGGCCGAAAGGCGUAGUCGAUGGGAAACAGGUUAAUAUUCCUGUACUUGGUGUUACUGCGAAGGGGGGACGGAGAAGGCUAUGUUAGCCGGGCGACGGUUGUCCCGGUUUAAGCAUGUAGGCUGAUUGUCCAGGCAAAUCCGGAUAAUCAAGGCUGAGGUGUGAUGACGAGGCACUACGGUGCUGAAGUAACAAAUGCCCUGCUUCCAGGAAAAGCCUCUAAGCAUCAGGUAACAUUAAAUCGUACCCCAAACCGACACAGGUGGUCAGGUAGAGAAUACCAAGGCGCUUGAGAGAACUCGGGUGAAGGAACUAGGCAAAAUGGUGCCGUAACUUCGGGAGAAGGCACGCUGGUGUGGGUGAAGUCCCUGCGGAUGGAGCUGAGACCAGUCGAAGAUACCAGCUGGCUGCAACUGUUUAUUAAAACACAGCACUGUGCAAACACGAAAGUGGACGUAUACGGUGUGACGCCUGCCCGGUGCCGGAAGGUUAAUUGAUGGGGUUAUCCGUAAGGAGAAGCUCUUGAUCGAAGCCCGGUAAACGGCGGCCGUAACUAUAACGGUCCUAAGGUAGCGAAAUUCCUUGUCGGGUAAGUUCCGACCUGCACGAAUGGCGUAAUGAUGGCGGGCUGUCUCCACCCGAGACUCAGUGAAAUUGAACUCGCUGUGAAGAUGCAGUGUACCCGCGGCAAGACGGAAAGACCCGUGAACCUUUACUAUAGCUUGACACUGAACAUUGAGCCUUGAUGUGGAUAGGUGGGAGGCUUUGAAGCGUGGACGCCAGUCUGCGUGGAGCCAACCUUGAAAUACCACCCUUUAAUGUUUGAUGUUCUAACGUUGGCCCCUGACCGGGGUUGCGGACAGUGUCUGGUGGGUAGUUUGACUGGGGCGGUCUCCUCCCAAAGCGUAACGGAGGAGCACGAAGGUUAGCUAAUCGGUCGGACAUCAGGAGGUUAGUGCAAUGGCAUAAGCUAGCUUGACUGCGAGCGUGACGGCGCGAGCAGGUGCGAAAGCAGGUCAUAGUGAUCCGGUGGUUCUGAAUGGAAGGGCCAUCGCUCAACGGAUAAAAGGUACUCCGGGGAUAACAGGCUGAUACCGCCCAAGAGUUCAUAUCGACGGCGGUGUUUGGCACCUCGAUGUCGGCUCAUCACAUCCCGGGCUGAAGUAGGUCCCAAGGGUAUGGCUGUUCGCCAUUUAAAGUGGUACGCGAGCUGGGUUUAGAACGUCGUGAGACAGUUCGGUCCCUAUCUGCCGUGGGCGCUGGAGAAUUGAGGGGGGCUGCUCCUAGUACGAGAGGACCGGAGUGGACGCAUCACUGGUGUUCGGGUUGUCAUGCCAAUGGCACUGCCCGGUAGCUAAAUGCGGAAGAGAUAAGUGCUGAAAGCAUCUAAGCACGAAACUUGCCCCGAGAUGAGUUCUCCCUGAGACUUUAAGUCUCCUGAAGGAACGUUAAAGACGAUGACGUUGAUAGGCCGGGUGUGUAAGCGCAGCGAUGCGUUGAGCUAACCGGUACUAAUGAACCGUGAGGCUUAACCU
rnacentral:rRNA from 1 species